rnacentral:siRNA from 1 species
UAUAGAUUUCUGAUAUGCA